GGGGUGUCCCGCUCGCUGAGCCCUCCCCGCCGAUGCCACACGGAGCAGAGCUGGCUGUCCCUGAUGAACCCUGUCCCACCCUCAGAGCCACGAUCAAGACAAACAUCACUGUUUAAAGACACUGGGUCUGCUACGCAGCCACAGGCCACCGCGAGGACCGGAGCGGGGCCUCACCCGUUGCCAUCGCCCCCCAGAUGCUCACUGCUGAGGGACGGGGACUUCUCAAAGGCCCCCGCCUCACCUGCGAGCUGACGGCUCCAUCACCGUUAAAGGGCUGAAUGGUGUCCCCACCAAGCUCUCACCGCGUCCCCCCAAAUUCCCAUCCACAGCCUGUCGAAAUCCUAACCCCCAUCCCGCAGACCAUGACUGUGUUUGGAGAUGGGGUUUGUAAAGAGGCGAUGAAGGGAAAACGAGGUCCCUGGGCGGCCUCCUCCAGAAGGCUGGCGUCCCUGUAGGGAGAGGAGACGGGGACCCAGCCCCACAGAGGGAAGACCGCGUGAUGGCAGAGGAAGGAGACGGCCGCCGCCAGCCACGGCGGGGGCCCCAGAAGCCAGCCACGCUGUGGAUGCCUCGAUCUUGGACUCCCAGCCCCGUGAACUGGAGGAAAGACAUUUCUGUCAUUGGAGCUGCCCCGUCUGCGGGACUUUGUUGGGCGGCCCCCGUGGGCCCAUAGAAGGUUGAGCCCACUUUCCAGAUGGGAAGACGGAGCUCUAAGAGUCACGGCUCCCCAGGCCGCACGGACUGCGCUGGGAUCCUCCCGCCCCUCGGGCGGUGACCCACGUGCUGGGCCCGGAUGUGGCCACAGGACACCAGCCUUGACCACGCAGGACCCCCCAGGCGGCACCCGGAGCAGAUGUCACCAAUCCGUGCGGGGUCUCCACCCAGCCCAGACCUGGCCGGGGUCUCUGCCCCAGCCGGCUGGUCCCACGGGGGCUGCAGGGGCCACAGGAAGACAUUUCUGGGCGCAGCUCAGAGGGGCCGGCCCAGGGCUGCCUCUGGGGGGAUUUCCGGCUCCGUGGGGUGAUUACGCGGCAACAGUCCCCCGGAGGCCCCCAGAGUUGACUCAGCGCCAGUGUCCCAUGGGGUCUGUGAGACAGGCCGGGGCUCCGCACAGAGGCUUGUGCAGGGGACAGAGCUGGGUCCACAAAUGGGAAAAUUGCUGAUAUGUGUUAUUCCCCAAAGGAAUCCUCGUCCCCCGCACAGCGCCCGGCCGCAGGGCCCGGAGAGUUUAGAAAGACCCGCAGCUCGCCCGUGGGAAUCACCCAGGAGAUUAAAUUUACCACCUGCCCAGCCUCUCCUCCAGAGCCUGACGCAACGGCCCCAGGGGGGCCCAGGUGUGGGCUUUUCUUUAACACUCCCUGGAGAUUUUCUCAGAGGCUGAGAGCCCCUGAUAUCAACAUGAGGAAACUGAGGACCAGAGAGGGGCAGCCGCCUUGCCAAAGUCACACAGCUGGUCCAAGAAGGAAGCAAAAAAAACAAGCCUUUUAUCGAUCACCUACUAUGUGCUGCUUUGGCACCUAUCGCACCUGGUUCCCACACCCACCCAGUGACGUGAGAAAUAUUCUCCCCGAUUUCCAGAGGAGGACACUGAGUCACAGAGUGUCAGCUGAAAUACAGGCGGUGCUGACGAGAAGCACAGCGUAGAUCGGGUUGACGGAGCACAACACACGUGGAUGACGCCCGCGCAUCAGGCCAGUCCCACAGCAAGCCCACGCUCUGGACACGAGGAUCAACCCAUUUCAAAGAGACGGAAACUGAGGCUCAGAGAGAAGAAGCCGUUUGCAGACGUCACACAGCCAGGGAGCAUCUGCUGCCAGGACGCGUCCCGCCCAGAGAGGACCAGACUGGGCUCCCAGCGAUCCGGGAGCACCCAGCCCCCUCCCCAAACCCACGACCGGCUGGACUGGGCUGCCGUCAGGGGUCCCGGCGCCGGCUGGAAUUUGGGGGUGUCCCUGCCACUCUCCACACGGCCCAAUAGCUCCUGGACCAGAUGCAAACACAGGGACGCUGCUGCGUGUCCCGGAGGGGCCCCCAGGGCGCCCUGAAGGAGGAGGAUGCAGGGGAGACGCGGGGAGGGGGCUGGGCUGAGGGACUUCUGAGAAAAGGCAGAGAAAUAAAAAGGAGGGGGGCCAGAGACAGCGCGGAGGGAGGACGCGAGAGGCAGAAAGUCAGGGCGACAAAUGACCCAAACGGACAAGACAGAGGGAGCAGCAGAGCCGGGGAGAUGGGGCGAGGAGAGACGCCUCCAAGACAGACAGACAGACAGACAGACAGACGGGGACAAGGAGAGAAGGAAACCUCAGAGACAGACAGAGACCAGGGGGCCGGGAGUCACGGACACAGAGAGACAGACGUGGGGGAGGCGGGACCCAGAGUGACAGCAGCCCCAGGAGGACACGCGAGCGACUUCUCCAGGGCCAGGACCAGGAGGGGCAGCGGGAAGGCCGAGAAGGACGGGCUGGAGGAGGCCGAGGAGAAAGAAGAGAGAGGAGAGGACUGAGGGGGGAGGCAGAG
ensembl:lncRNA